rnacentral:pre_miRNA from 1 species
AAAGUACUCCCUCCAUCCGAAAAUACUUGUCAUCAAAAUGGAUAAAAAGGGAUGUAUGUAAAACUAAAAUACGUCUAGAUACAUCCCCUUUUGUUCAUUUUGAUGACAAGUAUUUCCGGACGGAGGAAGUAUAUA